rnacentral:ncRNA from 1 species
GGUUGAAGGGAUUGAUGGAAGGGCACCACCAAGAGUGAAGCAUGCAGCUUAAUUUGGUUUAACACAUGGAAACUUACCAGGUCUGGAUAUGACUGACAGCUAUUUUUUUUAUUUAUGGGUGGUGGUACAUGGUCGUUCUUAGUUGGUGGAGCGAUUUGUGUGGUUAAUUCUGUUAAGUAACUAUGUGGAAGCAUCCCUUUACAGUCAGCUUCUUAGAGGGAAGAUGUAUGUUUAAGCCAAGGAAGUUUGAGGCAAUAACAUGUUUGUGGUGCUCUUAGAUGUUCUAGGCCGCACGUCUGCUACACUGAUGUAUUCAACAAGUUCACACCUUAGCCGACAAGCAUGAGUACUCUUUGAAAUUUCAUCGUGAUGGUGAUAAAUCAUUGCAAUUGUUGGUCUUCAACGAGGAAAACCUAGUACGUGUGAGUCAUCAGAUCGCGUUGAAAGUCCAUGUCUUUUGUACACACCGUCCGUCGCUCCUACCGAUUGAAUGAUCCAGUGAAGUGUUUGGAUGCGGCGACGUGGAUGGUUCGCCAUCUUCGACGUCUCGAGAAGUCCAUUAAACCUUAUUAUUUAGAAGAAUGAGAAGUCGUAAAAAGGCUUACAUCGGUGAACAUGCGGAAG